rnacentral:tRNA from 1 species
GCAUUGGUGGCUCGGUGGUAGAAUUCUUGCCUUCCAUGCUGGAGACCCUGGUUCAAUGCCUGGCCAAAGUA